AAACAUGUCCUGUAGUGGGGGAUAGCCCGGCGAAAGCCGGAUUAAUACCGCAUACGAUCUACGGAUGAAAGCGGGGGACCUUCGGGCCUCGCGCUAUAGGGUUGGCCGAUGGCUGAUUAACUAGUUGGUGGGGUAAAGGCCUACCAAGGCGACGAUCAAUAGCUGGUCUGAGAGGACGACCAGCCACACUGGGACUGAGACACGGCCCAGACUCCUACGGGAGGCAGCAGUGGGGAAUUUUGGACAAUGGGCGAAAGCCUGAUCCAGCAAUGCCGCGUGUGUGAAGAAGGCCUUCGGGUUGUAAAGCACUUUUGUCCGGAAAGAAAUCCUUGGCUCUAAUACAGUCGGGGGAUGACGGUACCGGAAGAAUAAGCACCGGCUAACUACGUGCCAGCAGCCGCGGUAAUACGUAGGGUGCGAGCGUUAAUCGGAAUUACUGGGCGUAAAGCGUGCGCAGGCGGUUUGCUAAGACCGAUGUGAAAUCCCCGGGCUCAACCUGGGAACUGCAUUGGUGACUGGCAGGCUA
rnacentral:rRNA from 1 species